rnacentral:misc_RNA from 1 species
UCGUGGGGCUCCGGCCCCGUCGAGAUAACACCCUUGCCUUUAUGAGUACCUUGGUUCCCUCCCCCGACCUCCGGGGAGCGGGAGGGACCUCGUCUGUAUCCCCGCGCGGCCGCCGCCGGGGACCGCAAAACACGCUGUAUCACCUGUAACCGUCUGAUAAAACAAACAAAAAGUCA